UUAAACGCCUACUACAAAGCAUCUUACGGAUGAAGAAACUGAGGCACAGAAAUGUUGGACAGGUAUCCAAAAUAGGACUGGAACACAGAUGUCCUAAUGUCAAUUUAUCUCACUAGGAGAUCCUGAGGAUACAAAGCAACUAUAUGAACUAAAUUCCAAAGACUGACAAACUUCUUCAAGGAAAAAAAGGAACACUUAAAUUUUGCCUUUGUCACAGCACAGAAGGAAGAGGUAACUACCAUUUAAGGGAGAAGCUGGAAACUGUCUCCUGCCCAAGACUCAGCACAGGUGUCUGACUUCUUUGAGAGGGGCAUCCAUCAAGAGGAAUACUUAAAAGGCUCCACCCCUCAGGCCCAGGCACACAGGCCCUGCUGAAGACUGCAGAUGGACCAGGAAAACCAAGAUCUCCCUGGUCCUACAAUGAACCUAGCACUAAAUUAGUACAAAUGGCUGUCUACUAGCAAGGGAGGGACAAGAGCACAGAGGGAACCCUCCCCUCUGUGGCACACAUAUUCAGGAACAGUUGACCACUGAAGGUGAACCACAAACAUGAGCCUAAUAUCAAACACAAGGAAAUAGCCAUUCCCUGCCAGAGGCAUUUGAAUCUGUUGUGCACUGAAGACAGAGAUAGCAGCAACAUGGCAAAACCAGCUCAAUGACUGACUUAAUUGACUAAUUCUACCACACUAACAUGCUGACAACAAGAAGAGGUGCGCUCAUCACUGGACUUACAUACUCUUCACCUCACUCUCUGCUGUUCUACACAUAUCUGCCAUUAAAUCAAAAAUUAAAUGAUAUAGUUUGGCUCUGUGUCCCCACCCAAAUCUCAUCUUGUAGUUUCCAUAAUUCCCAUGUGUUGUGGGAGGGACCCAGUAGGAGAUAAUUGAAUCAUGGGGGUGGGUCUUUCCCAGGCUGUUCUUGUGGUAGUGAAUAAGUCUCACAAGAUCUGAUGGUUUUAAAAAAGACAGUUUCCCUGCACAAGCUCUCUUCUCUUGUCUGCUGCCAUGUGAGAUGUACCUUUCACCUUCUGCCGUGAUUGUGAGGCCUCCCCAGCCACCUGAAACUGUAAGUCCAUUAAACCCCUUUCUUUGGUAAAUUGCCUAGUCUCGGGUAUGUGUUUAGCAGCAACAUGAAAAUGGACCAAUACAUUAAACAACAAAGAAAGCAAGAAAAAAGACCUACUGUCAAGUGAUAAAGCAAUAAUUAAAAUCUAAAUUCAGAGAUGACCCAGGUAUUGGAAUUAUUAGACUGGUACUUUAAAAUAACUAUGAAUAAUAUUUUAUUUUUUUGAGAUGGAGUCUGGCUCUGUCACCCCGGCUGGAGUGCAGUGGAAUGAUCUUGGC
rnacentral:lncRNA from 1 species